rnacentral:rRNA from 1 species
AUUGAACGCUGGCGGCAUGCCUUACACAUGCAAGUCGAACGGCAGCACGGGAGCUUGCUCCUGGUGGCGAGUGGCGAACGGGUGAGUAAUGCAUCGGAACGUGCCCUGAAGUGGGGGAUAACGUAGCGAAAGUUACGCUAAUACCGCAUAUUCUGUGAGCAGGAAAGCAGGGGAUCUUCGGACCUUGCGCUUUUGGAGCGGCCGAUGUCGGAUUAGCUAGUUGGUGGGGUAAAGGCCCACCAAGGCGACGAUCUGUAGCGGGUCUGAGAGGAUGAUCCGCCACACUGGAACUGAGACACGGUCCAGACUCCUACGGGAGGCAGCAGUGGGGAAUUUUGGACAAUGGGCGCAAGCCUGAUCCAGCCAUGCCGCGUGAGUGAAGAAGGCC